UAGCGACCAUAGCGUUAUGGACCCACCUGAUCCCAUGCCGAACUCAGAAGUGAAACGUAAUAGCGCCGAUGGUAGUGUGGGGUUUCCCCAUGUGAGAGUAGGACAUCGCU
rnacentral:rRNA from 1 species